rnacentral:rRNA from 1 species
AGUAACGGCGAGUGAAGCGGCAGCAGCUCAAAUUUGAAAUCUGGCGCUUUGGGCGUCCGAGUUGUAAUUUGUAGAGGGAGCCUCGGGUUGAGGGUCGGUCCAAGUGCCUUGGAACAGGAUACCGCAGAGGGUGAGAGUCCCGUAUCCGGCCGACGCCUGCGCCCGUGUGAGGCCUCUUCGACGAGUCGAGUUGUUUGGGAAUGCAGCUCUAAAUGGGUGGUAAAUUCCAUCUAAAGCUAAAUACCGGCCAGAGACCGAUAGCGCACAAGUAGAGUGAUCGAAAGAUGAAAAGCACUUUGAAAAGAGAGUCAAACAGUACGUGAAAUUGUUGAAAGGGAAGCGUAUGUGGGCAGACUUGACCGCGAGAUUCAGCCCGUCUUCUGGCGGGUGUACUUUCUCGCGGGCAGGCCAGCAUCGGUCCCGGGGGCUGGACAAAGACGUUGGGAAUGUGGCUCCCCUCGGGGAGUGUUAUAGCCCGGCGUGUAAUGCAGCCACCUGGGACCGAGGACCGCGCUUCGGCAAGGAUGCUGGCGUAAUGGCCUCAUACGGCCCGUCUUGAAACACGGACCAAGGAGUCUAACAUCUAUGCGAGUGUUUGGGUGUCAAGCCCGGACGCGUAAUGAAAGUGAACGGAGGUGGGAGUCUUCGGACGCACCAUCGACCGAUCCUGAUGUCUUCGGAAGGAUUUGAGUAAGAGCAUAGCUGUUGGGACCCGAAAGAUGGUGAACUAUGCGUGAAUAGGGUGAAGCCAGAGGAAACUCUGGUGGAGGCUCGCAGCGGUUCUGACGUGCAAAUCGAUCGUCAAAUUUGCGUAUAGGGGCGAAAGACUAAUCGAACCAUCUAGUAGCUGG